rnacentral:rRNA from 1 species
CUUGAUUCAAGAGUGACGGGCGAUUUGUGCAUGUUUAAUUUCAUAGCUUCAAAUUUAAUUCUUAUUUCUUAAUUUUAAUUUUAAGUCCUAUUUUAUCUUUUUUCCUAUAAAAAUUCACUAUUUUUUAUCUUUGUAUCCCAUGUUAUUCCUAUAUAUUUUCUCUGUCUUGAUUUGUAUUAAUAUUAAUAAAAAUUUUAAAAAAAAAUCUUUAGAUUUUUAUUUUAAACAAUGAUAUAGAAAAUAAUAAUAUAGGUGUAUUUAAUCGUGGGUUAUCUAUUACAUCACAGGAUCCCCUAUUUAGUUUAAACACCGCCAUUUUUCUUAACUUUUGUUUAUUUAACUACUAAUUUUUUUUUUUCUAAAA